UACGUAGGGUGCGAGCGUUGUCCGGAAUUAUUGGGCGUAAAGGGCUCGUAGGCGGUUUGUCACGUCGGGAGUGAAAACACGGGGCUUAACCCCGUGCCUGCUUCCGAUACGGGCAGACUAGAGGUAUGCAGGGGAGAACGGAAUUCCUGGUGUAGCGGUGAAAUGCGCAGAUAUCAGGAGGAACAUCGGUGGCGAAGGCGGUUCUCUGGGCAUUACCUGACGCUGAGGAGCGAAAGUGUGGGGAGCGAACAGG
rnacentral:rRNA from 1 species